rnacentral:rRNA from 1 species
GACGAACCGUGCGAACGUUAUUCGGAAUCACUGGGCUUAAAGGGUGCGUAGGCGGUCUGUCAAGUCAGGGGUGAAAUCCUUCGGCUCAACCGGAGAACUGCCCCUGAUACUGAUGGGCUUGAGGGAGAUAGAGGCAGCCGGAACUACCGGUGGAGCGGUGAAAUGCGUUGAUAUCGGUAGGAACGCCAGAGGCGAAAGCGGGCUGCUGGAUCUCUUCUGACGCUGAGGCACGAAAGCUAGGGGAGCGAACGGG